rnacentral:misc_RNA from 1 species
UUUGUCUUUGCUAUCAUACUUUAUAAAGAAGAGGGAGACGGAAGUGGUUGUUGUGCAAACUUUGGGUGUCGUGACCAUUUACGUUGUGAUAUCACAAUUAGCCAUGGCUGGAUCUAUGCCUUUGCCUCAUUAUGCAGUCACUUCUGUUGUUAUUGCGUGUGGUCUUGUUGUGAACUUCAUGAACUACUUCCACUUGCUCAAUCCCGUAAUCUGGCGUUACUGGGAGGAUUUCAUUACUAUUGCUGGCUUAUCUGCGCUUCCCCAAGUCAUGUGGUCAACUUUCAUCCCAUAUGUUCCAAAUACCAUCUUGCCUGGUGCUGUGGCUUUUGUUCUGGCUAUCCUAGCUGUCUUUAUGUCUCGGACUGGGAAACUUCCAGAG